UUAAAUUGAAGAGUUUGAUCAUGGCUCAGAUUGAACGCUGGCGGCAGGCCUAACACAUGCAAGUCGAACGGUAGCACAGAGGAGCUUGCUCCU
rnacentral:rRNA from 1 species